rnacentral:sRNA from 1 species
AUUUCUUGGCCUUCUGGCUAAGAUCAAGUGUAAUUUCUGUUGUUACCAGUGUAAAAGUGUUUUCCUUCUCUGUCUUGUGGCAGCUGUGGUGUUUGACAUUAUUAGAUUGCUUAAUGCCUGUUUUUUCCCCCU